UGGAAUUCUAAAAUUGAAUCCGGGACGA
rnacentral:sRNA from 1 species